GGCACGGGGCCAAUGUUGAGUCCACCAGGAUGGGAGGGUGGCCAGGCUCUGAGCCACUGAGCACCAGCUGGCCAGGAUGGGUCUUCAACAAGAAAUCUCACUGGUAAGUGAUGACAGCAUGGGACCAGGGUCCCAUGAAGACCUGCUGGAGGGCCACACCUCUGGGAAGGUAGUCUUGGAGCUUGGUCCAGUGAAGAGGAAACAGCACGGGGAACAGCGUGUGUGAGGGUCCCGCCAUGUCUCAGCCCUUUCCCGGCCCCUGCACUUAGCCUUCGGUGCCCAUCUUCAGGGUCAGGGGAAGCCCAGGCCAAAGCGUGCCACCACUGCCCCAGCACUCUGCCCACAGCAGCCCUGGUGCCACCACCCUGCAGAAUCCUGUCAGACAACCACCGACAUGGUAAGGCUGCUCUCUGUGCCCGAUGGAGUCUCUGGUGGGCUGGCUGGGUAGGUUGAGCUGGAACCUCGAGGUGCGAUGACCUGCCGGGGAGCCUGGGCAAGAAGGGGCUGAGGUAGAAGAGGGGGCCAAGCCCUGCUGCUACCAACACGGCCCUUGUUCCGGGGCCAGGGUGGAGCAGCCCUUUCUGGAAGCUGGCUCCCAGAUGGGCAGCAGCAGUGGUGGCAGGCAGGUGUGGCCCGGUGCUGGACUCUCCCUCCGGAAUGCCACACAGGCUGGAGCCCAGGGUUCUGCUUCCUGGGCUGUAUCCCAAUCCUGGGCUGGAAGCCUUUCCCGGGCCAGGGCUGGGCUCCUCCCCACCCUGCUCUCGGCUUCCUUCACCUGCCUCACCUGGUGUCCAUUGCCAGGCUCCAGGGCCGCGGCCUGGCCCGCCUGGCCCUGCAGCUGCUGCUGUUCCCUUGCACGCUGGCUCCUGCCUGUCUGGCCCUUGCCCCUGUUAGCUGUCUGGCAGAGCCCUGCUGGCCCUGCAAACCCCUGGCGUGUGACCCCUUGUCCUGGAAGCCUGCUCUCCGCUGGGGGCCUCCUCUCUUACCACUCACCUUGAAAGGCUGCCAAGGGAGGAAUGGGUGCAGGGGGUACCUGGGUCACCCAAUUUUCUUGCCUCAGCCUCCCGAGUAGCUGGGACUACAGGCACCCACCACCAAGUCCGGCUAAUUUUUUAUACUUUUACUAGAGACAGGGUUUCACCGUGUUAGCCAGGAUCAUCUCGAUCUCCUUACCUUGUGAUCCGCCCACCUGGGCCUCACAAAGUGCUGAGAUUACAGGCGUGAGCCACCGCACUCGGCCUGGAAUAGGCGUCUUUUUUAAGGCUGAGUAAAAUGUUAUUCUCGGGAUGGACCACACUCGGUUUAUCCACCAUCUGCUGAUGAACACUUAGGUGCUCCCACCUCUUGGCUGUUGGAACUGCUGCUGCAGUGAAUAUGGGCGGGCAUGAAGGUGUUUCAUAGAUGUGAUUAGUAUUUAAAUCAGUAGGCCGGGCAUGGUGGCUCAUGCCUGU
rnacentral:lncRNA from 1 species